CCUACGGGGGGCUGCAGUGGGGAAUAUUGCACAAUGGGCGCAAGCCUGAUGCAGCCAUGCCGCGUGUGUGAAGAAGGCCUUCGGGUUGUAAAGCACUUUCAGCGGGGAGGAAGGCGUUAAGGUUAAUAACCUUGGCGAUUGACGUUACCCGCAGAAGAAGCACCGGCUAACUCCGUGCCAGCAGCCGCGGUAAUACGGAGGGUGCAAGCGUUAAUCGGAAUUACUGGGCGUAAAGCGCACGCAGGCGGUCUGUCAAGUCGGAUGUGAAAUCCCCGGGCUCAACCUGGGAACUGCAUUCGAAACUGGCAGGCUAGAGUCUUGUAGAGGGGGGUAGAAUUCCAGGUGUAGCGGUGAAAUGCGUAGAGAUCUGGGGGAAUACCGGUGGCGAAGGCGGCCCCCUGGACAAAGACUGACGCUCAGGUGCGAAAGCGUGGGGAGCAAACAGGAUUAGAUACCCGGGUAGUC
rnacentral:rRNA from 1 species